UUCCAGACUCCUACGGGAGGCAGCAGUGGGGAAUAUUGCACAAUGGGGGAAACCCUGAUGCAGCGACGCCGCGUGAGUGAAGAAGUAUUUCGGUAUGUAAAGCUCUAUCAGCGGGGAAGAAAAUGACGGUACCUGACUAAGAAGCCCCGGCUAACUACGUGCCAGCAGCCGCGGUAAUACGUAGGGGGCAAGCGUUAUCCGGAUUUACUGGGGGUAAAGGGAGCGUAGACGGCAUGGCAAGUCAGAUGUGAAAGCCCGGGGCUCAACCCCGGGACUGCAUUUGAAACUGUCAGGCUGGAGUGCAGGAGAGGUAAGUGGAAUUCCUAGUGUAGCGGUGAAAUGCGUAGAUAUUAGGAGGAACACCAGUGGCGAAGGCGGCUUACUGGACUGUAACUGACGUUGAGGCUCGAAAGCGUGGGGAGCAAACAGGAUUAGAUACCCCAGUAAU
rnacentral:rRNA from 1 species